rnacentral:rRNA from 1 species
UACGUAGGGUGCAAGCGUUGUCCGGAAUUAUUGGGCGUAAAGAGCUUGUAGGCGGUCUGUCGCGUCUGCUGUGAAAAUCCGGGGCUCAACCCCGGACUUGCAGUGGGUACGGGCAGACUAGAGUGUGGUAGGGGAGACUGGAAUUCCUGGUGUAGCGGUGAAAUGCGCAGAUAUCAGGAGGAACACCGAUGGCGAAGGCAGGUCUCUGGGCCACUACUGACGCUGAGAAGCGAAGGCAUGGGGAGCGAACAGG